ensembl:lncRNA
GGUGAAUGGAGGUAUGAAGGAGGAGAGGAGAGUGUGAAUGGAUGUAUGAAGGAGGAGAGGAGAGGGUGAAUGGAGGUAUGAAGCAGGAGAGGAGAGGGUGAAUGGAGGUAUGAAGGAGGAGAGGAGAGGGUGAAUGGAGGUAUGAAGGAGGAGAGGAGAGGGUGAAUGGAGGUAUGAAGGAGAAGAGGAGAGGAGAGGAGAGGAGAUGAGAGGGUGAAUGGAGGUAUGAAGGAGGAGAGGAGAGGAGAUGAGAGGGUGAAUGGAGGUAUGAAGGAGGAGAGGAGAGGAGAGGGUGAAUGGAGGUAUGAAGGAGGAGAGGAGAGGGUGAAUGGAGCUAUGAAGGAGGAGAUGAGAGGAGAGGGUGAAUGGAGGUAUGAAGGAGAAGAGGAGAGGGUGAAUGGAGGUAUGAAGGAGGAGAGGAGAGGAGAGGGUGAAUGGAGGUAUGAAGCAGG